UCCCCUUGUUGGAACACCUCAGGCAUGACUAUUAUUUCUUCCUCCCUUCUUUAAUAUAUAUAUUUCAUUUCCAGCAUUAGAUUGAAUGAUAUGCAUAAGUUGGGAACAAAUUGUAGCUUUUUCCUUGGGUUUUAAUCCUGUCUUCUUGACUACUUAUAUAUCUUGAAACGGGAGAAGAAUUUUGUGUGACAACAUGCAUGCAUCUCCAGUUUACGUUCUGUAAACGUCCAUAACAUUGGUCAUUUUCCAUUG
rnacentral:misc_RNA from 1 species